UAACGCGUGGAUAACCUGCCAUAUACCGGGGGAUAACACUUAGAAAUAGGUGCUAAUACCGCAUAAGCGCACGGCUCCGCAUGGGGCAGUGUGAAAAACUCCGGUGGUAUACGAUGGAUCCGCGUCUGAUUAGCUAGUUGGCGGGGUAACGGCCCACCAAGGCAGCGAUCAGUAGCCGGCCUGAGAGGGUGGACGGCCACAUUGGGACUGAGACACGGCCCAAACUCCUACGGGAGGCAGCAGUGGGGAAUAUUGCACAAUGGGGGAAACCCUGAUGCAGCGACGCCGCGUGAGUGAAGAAGUAUCUCGGUACGUAAAGCUCUAUCAGCAGGGAAGAAAAUGACGGUACCUGACUAAGAAGCCCCGGCUAACUACGUGCCAGCAGCCGCGGUAAUACGUAGGGGGCAAGCGUUAUCCGGAUUUACUGGGUGUAAAGGGAGCGUAGACGGCAGCACAAGUCUGGAGUGAAAUCCCGGGGCUUAACCCCGGAACUGCUUUGGAAACUGUGCGGCUGGAGUGCAGGAGGGGUAAGCGGAAUUCCUAGUGUAGCGGUGAAAUGCGUAGAUAUUAGGAGGAACACCGGUGGCGAAGGCGGCUUACUGGACUGUAACUGACGUUGAGGCUCGAAAGCGUGGGGAGCAAACAGGAUUAGAUACCCUGGUAGUCCACGCCGUAAACGAUGAUUACUAGGUGU
rnacentral:rRNA from 1 species